GGCCGGCCGCCGCCGCCGCCCCUCAGCGCCCGCCGCGGCGGGCGGGAGCCGGCGACGCGCAGGGGGGCUGAGCAGCGCCCGCCCGAAGGGAACCCCCGGGUGAAGCGGGGAUUACACAUUUUGAAAAUAAAGGACAUUACCUGGGCUUCGUGGUUGCAGAGCGCCUGACACGGAGGUUUUCGCUGAAAAGGUGAAGACUGCUUGUUUGGAGUGAGUAAUUUCUGUGACCCUCUGAAAUAAAUGGGAAUCUUCUACUGAUUUCUGAAGAUUGACUCAAUCAUUUUUGCUAAGUGUUAUGUGUCAAGAUCAUUAAAAAAAAACCCCACAACUGGAAAUAGGUUUCAUGUCAUCUUAGACACCUAAUGAAGCUUGCUGUAUCCUGACUUUGCUGCCCAGCAAUGUAACAGGAGCUGAUAUAAAUGACUGAACAAUCCUCUCUGCAUCCAAGGAGCAUGUAGCUGCCUGGUUCUUCUCCUUUAGUUGUAGUUAGAGGAAGUUACUCCACGGCACUACACCUGUGUGGUUGCAUUUGAUCCAACAAAAAUGUGGAUUACCCUGGUGUGUUGCAUUGAUCACAGUUUGAAGUCACUUCAGAAGGCACUGGAAUCCAAUUGUGAUCCACACUGGAGAAGCAAGUGGUAAAGAUGCUCCUUUACCACAGCAGUUCAUCUCCAAGUAGUGUUAUGACCAAAUUUAAGUCUGUCAUUGUGCAUUGCCUGCCUAGCAUUCAGCUCAAAUUUUCAAUCACAUACUUAGAAAAUUAAAACUCAUAUACUCCCUGGAGAACAGACAAGAAACCCCCUCCCCUCUCCAUAUGCCUACCUUAAUCACUAAGUUACAAGCCAUACUCUCUCAGGUCCCUGUGAAUAUUAAUUAUUCUGUGCAGAGUGCAACAGUUUCAGCAAAGGUGGCCAAGAGAGACAUCCAGAGUGCUCUGUAACUUGGACAUUAUGGCACUUUCAUGGGAAAACAAGCUCAAACCUUUAAGGCAAAAGAAGCAACUGGGGCACUUGUGUCCUGGGCUGCAUUCAAACUCGGAUCCUUAUCAGCAAGCUGUCAGGUAAAACACUUACCAGGAGCAUCCAGCAGGCCCAGCAGAGCUUAGCCUUGAACCUAAUCUAAGCAGCCUCCUAGCAGUACACUAGUCACAAGACCACUGCUGAUAUUAAUAUGCCUUCUUCUGGUGUUAAUCAUUAUUUAGAAAUAAUCACUGCAGUAUUUUUUUUUUCCACACAGAAGGAACGAGGGUAGAGCGUCCCUAGCGCUUGCUGUGUCACAAGGGGAAUGCGAAGCAGUAGCUCUUUAGGAAAGCAUGCUGCUGGAAAUGUACAUCAGCUCAAUCACUCUGCAGCUCACAACUGUGAAAUGGCCUGUUUUGUCGAGCUUGUCAGCAGUGUGCAUCAUUCAGUUGACAACACAGAAAGCUGGGGUUGGCUCACACACAGCAAUUUCCAGUUGACGAGUUGGUUCAAUUGAUACAUUCACUUUGGGAAAUAAAGUAAGAAUAUUCUCAGUUUGAGCGAGGCUACACUGCAUGAAUAUCUUCCUCAUUGAAAAGAGAGAUGAUGACUGCGUACAAGACAAGGCAUGAUUAGCAGGAGGGAAAAGAAAGAGAGGCAAUAUAUCUUUUGGACAGAAUUGUUUCAUUCAUUUUUCCUUGAUCUUUUUGAAGGAGAUUUUGUUUCCUUUAUGGGUCAUAUCCGAUUUGAAGCCAAUAGGAAUCUAUGCUUCCACCUUUUCCCCUUUUCCCAUGUACACUGCAUACACUGUACAGCUAUGGGUGUAACUUAACAGUUGUGCACAGACUGUAUUUCUUCUCCAAAGAGGGAUCAUUACUUUGUAAAUACAGAAUUAGAGACUCAGGAAUUAAUGACUCUCUUUGAUAGUCAAAGAAGUGCAGCUGGACACAGGAGGGGACCGAUCCUUGUAAGGUUACAGGUUACUGAGGGCAAAUGCAGUCUCUAAAAGAGAUUCAAAAGAACAGGAGCUAUGGAUCAGAUACCUAGCAGUAAACUUCACUCCAUUGCUUGGAUUCUGGUGCCUUCUGGAGCAAAGCAGGUUGUUUUUUGAAGUUGCAUGAUAUAGCAUUAAUAAGAGCAAUUCAUGGUUCAGCACUGCUCUUCUAGGCAGUACUUCAUCAUUUUUUGGUGCAGGGAAAGAAGGAGCUCUUGGCUUUUUGAAGAAAAUGUGGCAUGCGCAGAAGGAAUUCCUCAUGGUUUAUGUAGUCAGUUGCUGCUAUUUUUUUCUGCUACCGGUAUUCAGUCUCCUUCGUUAUUGCUACGUUUGCCACAGGUCUAAGCACAUAAUAACAAUGCAGUACAUGUUAGCAAAAAGAUCAGAGUGGCCUCUCACUAUGUAACUUGCUGCUUUAGCUGCUGCAAGAACCAUUUUCUAUUCCUGCUUCUGCUUAGAGGAGAAUCUUUCCUGAAAACCUUUAAAUAAAUUAAAUAUUCCCAGUGUGCACCAUUUAGUGUCAAACUUUUCUAGUUUAAGAUGAUUUUUCUCCUUCCACUUUGUAAAGAGUAUGUGUCAUCGGUAGCCUUACAAUGCUGCAGUGUUAAUCAAACCAUCCAAACAGUGGGCUUAUUUUGUUUCUAGUAUAGAUACCGAUCCUUAAUUACCCCAGUAUUGUUUUAACGACCUCAGCACAUCCUUAUCUGUUUUGCUGCACUUCAUUUCAUAUUACACAUUUCCAGUUGGAGACUUGACAGGAGGCAGAAGCAAUCAAACCAUAUUGUCUGGCAUAACAGUGGGGAAACUGCCAUGUCUCUCAUGCAAAAGAUUAAUAAUAGACUGUGUGCUGUCUUUGUAAAACAAAAACAUGUCUCGCUUAAACGCCUUAAAAGUUACAUCCUGUGUGAUGCUGUCAGUGUGGGGGCCCAAUGUCAGACAUCUAAAGGAGUUUUAAUCUUUGAAGAAGAAGGUUUUUUUCCUUGUAAAUCAUACUGUAAGUUCCUGCUGCUGAUCUUAGGGCAAGAUGCUUACAUUAGACUGUUGCUGCAGAUAGGAAGGGACAAACUGUUGCUGGGCAGAUGAGUGUGGAAAGCUACAAAUACCUUAGGUGGAGAGGGAAUAGCCUGCUAUCGCCAGGCGAGGGAGCUGUUUAAGUGCAAGCUUGAAUUUUAGAUCCAGACAUUAUCUCUGGAACACAAGGAGCCUGAUUGCAUUGCUGCUGCCCUAAAAUACCUGUGAGAGCCAGGCACUUAAUUGCUAGGUCUGACAACAGCUUGGAAAAACCUACAUAGGUGCUCUCUCCCUCUUUUCUGUCUUUGAUCUGAGGAGGUAGGGAUAUGUCCAGAAUUAUUAACUGGUAAAAAAUAGGAGGAGUAGCAAGAUUUAAGAAGAGGCAGCAAAAGUUUUUGGGGGAGUCUUACUCACAGAGCUGUUAAGAAAGACUUCAGAAAUACAAGAAGUCACUCUAGGGACUGAUUUUUCAAUCCAGGAGUAUAACUACUCCGUAUUGCAUUUUCUGUGAUCCAUCUUGUCCUAAAUAUCUGAAUUAAAGGUAAUGCAGCACAGAAACACUGGAUUUUAUUAAUCUCACCAGAGUACAGAGAAAUGGCUAAACAUAAAAAAAUUUGCAGGUGGUGGGGAGGAGGCGAAUAGAAAGUCCUGGCGAUACGCUUGCAGGGAAUGUAUAAUCUUCACUAGAAAAUUCAAAGCCUGUCUGCUUGGCGUGGAUCCUAGCUGUGUAGCGGUUUGUUGAGUGAUGAUGGAAAGCUCACUCUACAUUAAUUCCUAAUGGAUUAUUGCAAAAUGUUCUGUAAUGAUGACGCGCUUGAGCUGUUAAUUGAUUAUGAAAUGCCUUAAGAGCUUUAUGAAAAGCAUAAGAUACAAUUAUUAUUGGA